AGGGAGUCCUUUCUCUCCUGAAUUUAGCGGUCCUGGGUAAAUAUUGAUUUGCCCCGAGUUUACCUUCUUACAGCCUGACCAUUUGCAGACUAAGGAACCAACCUCUGUGAAGACUUGAUUUCUGGUUACUUUGGAGCCCUUUUCAUCCGUCCCCCCACUCCUUCCUCCCUCUAAGUGGCAUUGUAAAACUCAACAGUGACAAAGAGACGAAGUACGGUUCCAGGCACCAAUUCUCGGAGAGGGCAGUUUACAUACAGGUCAGACACGGCUGGAGGCCAAGGUCAAGUUGAAAGUUGCUGUCUAGUCAGCGUGAGAAACUACAAUGAAAGCCCAGAGACAGAGCCGACUGCCUACCUCCCCUCG
rnacentral:lncRNA from 1 species